rnacentral:rRNA from 1 species
GAACGCUGGCGGCAGGCUUAAUACAUGCAAGUCGAACGGUAACAGCAGGAAGCUUGCUUCCUGGCUGACGAGUGGCGGACGGGUGAGUAAUACCUGGGGAGCUGCCUGAAUGAGGGGGGCAACACCUGGAAACGGGUGCUAAUACCGCGUAAGCCCUGAGGGGGAAAGGCUGGGCAACCAGUCGCAUUCAGAUGCGCCCAGGUGGGAUUAGCUAGUUGGUGGGGUAACGGCCUACCAAGGCGACGAUCUCUAGCUGGUCUGAGAGGAUGAUCAGCCACACUGGAACUGAGACACGGUCCAGACUCCUACGGGAGGCAGCAGUAGGGAAUAUUGCACAAUGGGGGAAACCCUGAUGCAGCCAUGCCGCGUGUGUGAAGAAGGCCUUUGGGUUGUAAAGCCACUUUCAGUAUGGAGGAAGUGCAGUAUGUUAACAGCAUGCUGCAUUGACGUUACAUACAGAAGAAGCACCGGCUAACUCCGUGCCAGCCGCUGC